AUCACUUCUUGGCCUUUUGGCUAAGAUCAAGUGUAAAGUAUCUUGUUAUUCUUAUAUAUGAAUGCACAUGUAAGGUGUCAUAUUUUACACAUACAUCUUUUAUCUUUAAAAUGGUGAGCAAACAUU
rnacentral:snRNA from 1 species